rnacentral:lncRNA from 1 species
UUAAAGUUUAUUUAUUUAUUUAUUUUAUUUUUAUUUUUUGAGACAAAUCUUGCUCUGUCGCCCAGGCUGGAGUGCAGUGGCGUGAUCUCGGCUCACUGCAACCUCUGCCUCCUCGGUUCAAGCGAUUCUCCUGCCUCAUCCUCCUGAGUAGCUGAGAUUACAGGCCCGCGCCACCACACCUGGCUAAGUUUUGUAUUUUUAUUAGAGACAGAGUUUCACCAUGUUGGCCCGGCUGGUCUCGAACUCCUGACCUCAGGUGAUCUGCCCACCUCAGCCUCCCCUGUUCAAAGUUUUAAAACAGAUGCACCAAGAAUUUAUACAAAUAAACAUAUUCAAAGAGAUAAAGGCAGACACCAGAGACAUAAAGCAGGGAAGAAGGAAUGUCUAGCAUCCAAUGAAAUAAUUGAAAUAAGGAACAUGAUGAGGCCAAAUGCAGCCAAAGCCAGAUGAGCAGGCUAGAGGCAACUCACCCCAAAGGCAAUAGGAAAAGAGAGAAUGUAUGAAAGAAUGGUUAAAGGUAAGUAAGGUAAUUAAAGAAGUGGAAAUGUACAGAUAAUGGAUUUCCAGAGGCCACAAUGGGUGCCAGAAGACACUGGAGUAAUAUUUUUAAAGCCCUCAAGGAAAAUAAUUUGACAUAGAAGCCAGGUGCAGUGGCUCACACCUGUAAUCCCAGCACUUUGGGAGGCCGAGGCAGGUGGAUCAUGAGGUCAGGAGAUGGAGAUCAUCCUGGACAACAUGGUGAAACACCGUCUCUACUAAAAAUACAAAAAUUAGCUGGGCAUGGCAGCGCAUGCCUGUAAUUCCAGCUACUAGACAGGCUGAGGCAGGAGAAUCCCUUGAACCAGGGAGUUGGAGGUUGCAGUGAGCUGAGCCAAGAUCAUGCCACUGCACUCCAGCCUGGGAGACAGAGCAAGACUCUGUCUAAAAAAUAAAUAAAUAAAUAAAAUAAAAUAAAAUAAAAUAAAAUAAAACAUAAAAAAAGGAAUUUGACAUAGAAUUUUAUAGCCAGCUCAACUGUCACUGAAGUAUAAGCACAUACCAAAUUAUCUUCCAAUAUAAAAGGCCUCAGAAGAUCCACUUUUCCAAAACUCACUUUGAAAACGUUCUUCAAGGAAAUUAGAAGAUAAAUAAAUCCAGGAGGAUGUUGAUAGGAACUAUGGGUAUAAAAAACUUUAGAUCAAAUAGAUUUUAGUAGUCUAUUGUUAUCUAAAAAAGCCAGGAGCAGCCAGGUGCGGUGGCUCACGCCUGUAAUCUCAGCACUUUGGGAGGUCGAGGCGAGCGGAUCACAAGGUCAGGAGAUCAAGACCAUCCUGGCUAACACAGUGAAACUCCAUCUCAACUAAAAAUACAAACAAUUAGCUGGGCGGGGUGGCGGGCGCCUGUAGUCUCAGCUACUCGGGAGGUUGAGGCAGGAGAAUGGCGUGAACCCGGGAGGCAGAGCUUGCAGUGAGCCAAGAUCGCACCACUGCACUCCAGCCUGGGCAACAGAGCGAAACUCCGUCUCAAAAAAAAAAAAAAAAAGGCCAGGACCAAAGUGAGGAGAGAAGAUGAAGUACAUUUACAACAAUGCAAAAGUAAAUAUUUAAACAGAAUCAACAUGGGAGUCCAAAGAUUUAAUAUUAAUCUGCUCAGGAAAUCAAUACGAUUAGCUAUGUAUUGAUGUGGAUCUUAAACUAAAGGUAACCACCAUUAAAAUCGAUAGGAGAAACUUAGGGAAAAAGAAAUGAAUGUAAAAGCCAAUUAUGAAUGAAGGAGGCAGAAAUAAAGUCCUGCUGCAACCAGACACAAUCAACUUAAUGAGCUAAAACACCAAUACGAAGCUUGGAUUUAUAAAGAAAGAAUCAACAGUUUUCCAAGAGAAGCAUAUUUAAAAGUAAAGGAUACUAAAAAGUUUAAAAUAAAUAGAAAAAGAAGUACUAGGCAAAUUGGAAUCAAUAUAAAACUAGAUAGUAGCCCUGCUAUCUGCCAAGUCCAAAGCAAUCAGCGAACAGCAUGCUGUUACACACCUGAAAGAGGAAACAGAUGAACAAGAUGCAACCAUCAUGAUCACAUGUGUACUUAAGCAUGUUUCUUUAAAAAAGCAAAAACUGACCGGGUGCAGCGGCUCAUGUCUGUAAUCCCAGCAUUUUGGGAGGCCGAGGCGGGCGGAUCUCCUGAGGUCAAGGGUUUUCGAGACCAGCCUGGCCAACAUGGCGAAACCUCAUCUCCACUAAAAAUACAAAAACUAGCUGGGCAUGGUGGCGCAUGCCUGUAAUCUCAGCUACUCGGGAGGAUGACGCAGGAGAAUCACUUGAACCCGAGAGGCAGAAGUUGCAGUGAGCCGAGAUUGCGCCACUGCACUCCAGCCUGGUGACAGAGGAGACUCCGUCUCAAAAAAAAAAAGCAAAAACUGACACAACUCUACAGAGAAAAACAUAAGUUGGCAAUUAUACUAGAUAUUUCUUAAAACAUAUAAAAUAGCAGACAUCAAAGAUUUGAAACAUACAAAUUCUAAAUUAUUAUAUUUACAUAGAACUCUGCAUCCGAUGGAGACUAUACUUUUAAAAAUGCAUAGAAUGUUUACACAAUUUGAUCAUAUAUCAUGAAAAAUGUAUUUAGCAAGAAAGAAACACAAUAAACUCUAAAGCAACAAAGUGUGUUCUAAUGUAAUAGUAAAAUAAAUUUUGAAAUAAAUAACAAAAGGAUAGAAGUUUUAAAAUACCACAUUUUUGGAAAGGAAAUGACAUUACUAAAUAUCCCUUGGGUUUAAAAGUAAACCAGAAGAGGGUUACAAAAUAUUUAGAACCAAAUGAAAAUAAAAACAAAAAUGUCACACUUUGUGAAACAA